CCAGACUCCUACGGGAGGCAGCAGUGAGGAAUAUCGGUCAAUGGGCGGGAGCCUGAACCAGCCAAGUCGCGUGAGGGAAGACGGUCCUAUGGAUUGUAAACCUCUUUAGGCGGGGAGCAAUGCCGGGCACGCGUGCCCGGAGGGAGAGUACCCGCAGAAUAAGCAUCGGCUAACUCCGUGCCAGCAGCCGCGGUAAUACGGAGGAUGCGAGCGUUAUCCGGAUUUAUUGGGUUUAAAGGGUGCGUAGGCGGACAGUCAAGUCAGCGGUAAAAAUGCGGUGCUCAACGCCGUACAGCCGUUGAAACUGGCAGUCUUGAGUGGGCGAGAAGUAUGCGGAAUGCGUGGUGUAGCGGUGAAAUGCAUAGAUAUCACGCAGAACUCCGAUUGCGAGGGCAGUAUACCGGCGCCCGACUGACGCUGAGGCACGAAAGCGUGGGUAUCGAACAGGAUUAGAUACCCCGGUAA
rnacentral:rRNA from 1 species